UACGGGCGAUGUAUUUUUUGUACUCGCUCGGCACCUUACGAGAAAUCAAAGUUUUGGGUUCUGGGGGAGUAUGGUCGCAAGGACUGAAACUUAAAGAAAUUAGACGGAAGGGCACCACCAGGAGUUAAAAACAUUAUAUAACUACAAGCUGUAGUUUCUGCUCUGCUCCUAAUAGCUACCUUUCUUAAGGUUUAAGUGGUCUGUCCUUGGCAAAAGUGCUAAAAUUCAAAUGCUAGUCCUUAUCAUCGGGCUAUACACUCCAACUGCGGGAAUCCUCUAGAGCUUUUACUACCAAGCCAGUUACCGAAAGGUGCUGUGUGGCCAAGUUAAUAACUUUGGGUAUGGUAACAACGUAAAAGAUGUAACAAUGAGUUAUCCGCAGCCAAUCCCCUACUGUAAAUGUUGGGGCUGGUUCAGAGACUUGAUGGGUGUGAGUUCAGUUACUUUUAAAUGCUGAACUUGAGAUGAAGUCCAUCCCUAGAGAAGUUUCUAGGGAGGCAAUGGGAGCCUGCGGCUUAAUUUGACUCAACACGG
rnacentral:rRNA from 1 species